rnacentral:RNase_MRP_RNA from 2 species
GCGCCGUCCGAAGAAUCGCCAUCGCAGCUCACGCACAGAAGAGUCUCCUCUUCGUCUUACGCUGUGGGGAAAGUCCCCGGAGAUGCAGAACAUGUCCUCGUCCAUCAUCCCCUCGGAAAGCGACCGGUCCUAAGCACGCCGGGCCUUGGACGGGACGGCCAAGAUACUUUGCUCUGGAUAUAAAUUUGGAGCUCCUCUUGGCCAUUCUGCUGUUCGUCAUGUCUGCCAUGCAUUCGGCUACGGCGCCGGCACGCGAAGAUACGAGCGUGCUGGUUGCUUGGGUGUGUGGUGGGCAGUCGGGCUAUCCGUUGCUCAUAGACAUAGUUAUGCGAUUGCGGACCUUUGGGUCUGUCAACACAAUGGGGCUUACUCUCAUUCGGCG